CUCCGUAGUCCGGCAGCAUGGAGUCAGGGGUGGCCGGGCUCCUCGGGACACUGGCUCCGCAGACGCCCAGUGCUGGGGUCUGCUCAGCAGCGUCCGCUGCUUGUCCCACGCCGCCGCCGGCUCCU